UAUGCUGCUAGAGACACGAGGUCUGGG
rnacentral:misc_RNA from 1 species